AAAAACUUAAAAGUUUCCUGUGAUGAGCGCUAAAAAGGGUGACAAACAACUUCUGAUGGUCGAAAAUAAUCAGAGUUUCACUCCAUAACAUGAAAUAGUGUUGACAGGAUUUUGACUAUGCAAAAAGAAAACGUGGGAAGAAUUAAAACGAGAUAACGAAGAAAGGUUAACUUUGAAGUGCAUCAAUGAAAAUAAUCAGUUCUGCUGAUUAUACGUACUAAAAUACAGAAGAAAGAGCUGAGAAAAGGAAAAAAAUAGCUGUCAGGAAAGGGAAAAAGUAGGGAAACAUAAAAGUUAGGAGAGAAGAGUGAAAAAGMAYAACAAGACGAAGAAGUGAAGAAAAAAGAGAAGACAUCAAAGCAAUGCAAAUGAYUUUUCGUGUUGCGAGCGUUCAAAAAGAAGGUGACAAACAACGAGUGAUGCCCCAAUAUAAAUCAUUAACCCAAAGAGUCUCAAUCCAAAACACUUCAAAGUGUUGACUGAAACUUCAUGAAAAAGAAAACCGAGGAAGAAAAGAAAUAGGAAAGAGAAAAAGGAAGRGGAACACAAGAAAUUAGAAGAUAAAAACAAGGAAAAAAAAGGAGGUUGAAGUGAAAGGCAAGCAAGAAAAGAGACGCACUUAACCACAACAAGACAGCCUACAGAUAUGUCUUAACAWCCUUGCCAAACGCCUUUUUUGACCGAAAAAAAAUGUUUGUAAGUACAAUUUGAUUCUAUUUAAUCAACCAUUGUUAAAUUUGACAUUUAUUUACUACUUUCAAAAAACAUAGAAUUUUGAUUUGUAAAAGAUGAUUUCGAUUCUAAAACUGAAGACGAAAAGACGUGAUUCCCAGCCUUGUUGGUGUACCAAAAAGUCGAAAUUUGGGCAUUCCUAUUUUUCAUGGAUCGAUUUUGCCCAAGUAUCGCGCUUGAUGUGAAAUCUUUUUAACUCUAAGAUAGAGUUAUAUUACAAGCUGUUGUAAUGGAGUACAUUUGGUGUUUUACUUUUGCGAUCUCGGAAACUUGUAAUUUUUAGAAGCAUCGUUCCUGCAGCAACGAUAAUCCCUAAAGAGAACGUUAAAGGGUUACACAACCUAACAAUAGCUCGAAACGCGGCUGAACUUUGAUUGCGCUCUAGCGAAAAAACAAGAUGCUGCCUAAUUUUUUUUCUG